GCCUACCGAGCCAAAAGAGAUGGUGGUGUGCCUAUUCUGUUGGCCGGGACCUGUUUUGUUUGCCAGGACCUCUGUUGGAAAUAGGAAACACCAUCCACCUGGAGAAUUACAGUAUCUUGCUGCUGGCUCACUGACGUUGCCCACCUGCAGACUUCAGCCCACCCAGUCCUUGUCUGGAUCUUGUACCUGGGCCUGGGCACACCUGGCAUAGCUGCCGCCUGUGGGGGUUUGUGCUGAGGUGAGCUCACCAGGCUUACCUAGGGCAACUGAAGGGUGUGGCUAGUUGGUAUCUGAACUUAUUGACUACAGAAGCAAACCUCAAAGCUGGAGAAGUGGCACUGGGCAAGGAGCCUGUAGGAUGAGGUGAGACACAGCAGGCAGAUGAAUCAGUGGGGCAGAAAGAAGGAAGAAGUGGAAUCCACGGCAGCGGAGGUUGAUAAGGAGCCAAUUCAUUAUCUUGAAAACUCACAAAUAAAGGAGAGGAAUCAAGCAUUUGUCCAACCUUUUCUAUAUGAACUGUGCUGGAUAAUCAAAUAGUAG